rnacentral:rRNA from 1 species
UACGGAGGAUCCAAGCGUUAUCCGGAUUUAUUGGGUUUAAAGGGUGCGUAGGCGGCCUGUUAAGUCAGGGGUGAAAGACGGUAGCUCAACUAUCGCAGUGCCCUUGAUACUGAUGGGCUUGAAUUGACUAGAGGUAGGCGGAAUGUGACAAGUAGCGGUGAAAUGCAUAGAUAUGUCACAGAACACCGAUUGCGAAGGCAGCUUACUAUGGUCUUAUUGACGCUGAGGCACGAAAGCUAGGGGAGCAAACAGG